rnacentral:rRNA from 1 species
UACGUAGGGACCGAGCGUUGUCCGGAAUCAUUGGGCGUAAAGAGCGUGUAGGCGGCCACUUAAGUCCUGCGUGAAAUCUUGCGGCUCAACCGCAAGCGGUCGUGGGAAACUGGGUGGCUAGAGUGCGGGAGAGGAGAGUGGAAUUCCUGGUGUAGCGGUGGAAAUGCGCAGAUAUCAGGAAGAACACCCGUGGCGAAGGCGGCUCUCUGGAACGCAACUGACGCUGAGACGCGAAAGCGUGGGGAGCAAACAGG